CCCACCACCAUGCCCGGCUAAUUUUUGUAUUUUUAGUAGAGACGGGGUUUCACCAUGUUGGCCAGGAUGGUCUCGAUCUCUUGACCUUGUGAUCCACCCGCCUCAACCUCCCAAAGUGUUGGGAUUACAGGCGUGAGCCACAGGGCCCGGCCUUGUGUGUUCUCUUUUUUCUUAAUUUGGUUAGAGAUUUAUCAGUGUUAUUGAUCAUCUCAAAAAACUAGUUUUUGGUUUCAUCAUUAUCUUCAUAUUUUGUUUUCUAUUCAUUGAUUUCUGUACUUUUGCUUAUUAUUUCCUUUUUCUGCUUACUUUGGCUUUCGUUGCCUUUCUCUAGUUCUCAUUUGAGACCUUUCUUUUUUUCUUAUAUAAUUUUUAAUGCUAUAAAUUUUGCUUUAAACAUUUCCUUAAUUCCACAAUUUUCCUUGCGUUAUGUUUUUAUUAUUAUUCUGGUAAAAAUAUUUCCUAGUGAUAUUUGUGAUUUCUUCUUUGACUCAUUGGUGUUUAGAAGUGAGUUAACUUCUAGAGACAUUUGGGGUCCUUUCUAGAUUAGUUGUUGUUGCAGAUUCCUAAUUUAUGACUGUUGUGGUCUGGAAACACUCUGCAAGAUAUUGAUCUUUUGAAAUCUGUUGAGACAAGCAUGUGGCCUGUCCUGACGAAUGUUUCACAUACAGUUGGAAAGAGUGUGCGUUCUGAAGUUGUUGCUGAUUAUUUUCUCUAAGUGUCAAUUCAGUUUAGUUCGUAGUGUCAUUUGAAUCUCCUGUAUACCUUUUUCUUUUUGUCUACUUGUUCUGUUACUGAGAACAGCGUGUUAAAAUCUCCAGCUAUUAUUGUAGAUUUUCUGUUUUUCCCUUUGGUUUUACUAGUUUUUGUUCAUAUAUUUUGGCAUUCUGUUAUUAGAUGUGUAUACGUUUGUAAUUGUUGUCUCUUCCUGUUGUAUUGAGCAGGAACUAUCCUUUUUGUCUUAUAAUACUCAUUCUAUUGAAGAAUAUUUUGUGUGCUAUUAAUACAGCUACUACAGGCCAUGUGCAGUGUGGCUCGUGCCUGUAAUCCCAGCACUUUGAGAAGCCAAGGCAGGAGGAUUGCUUGAGGCCAGGAGUUUGAGACCAGCCUGGGCAACACAGUGAGACUCCCAUCUCUAAAAAAAAAAAAAUGUUUAGGACAUCAGCCAAGCAUAAUGACAUAUGCCUGUGGGUCCUACAGAGGAAGCCCAAGCAGGAGGCAGCUGAAGCAGGAGGAUCUACAUAGGAGGCUGAAGUGGAUAGCUUGAAUCUAAGAGUCGGAGGUUACAGUGAACUCUGAUCACACCACUGCACUCCAGACUGAACAACAACAGAACAAGGCCCUGUCUUAAAACACACAUGCAGAGCCAGGCACAGUGGCUCAUGCCUGUAAUCCCAGCACUUUGGGAGGCUGAGGUGGGCAGAUCACAAGGUCAGGAGUUCGAGACCAUCCUGGCUAACACGGUGAAACCCCGUCUCUACUAAAAAUAGAAAAAUUAGCCGGACGUGGUGGCGGGCACCUGUAAUCCGAGCUACUCAGGAGGCUGAGGCAAGAGAAUGGCGUGAACCCAGGAGGUGGAGCUUGCAGUGAGCUGAGAUCAUGCCAUUGCACUCCAGCUGGGUGACAGAGCAAGACUCUGUCUAAAAAAAAAAAAAAAGCACACACGCACACUCAGCUAUGAUGGCUUUCUUAUGCUAGCUGUUUGCGUGGUAUAUUAUUGUCCAUCCUUAAAUUUUAAUUUCCACCUCUUUCUGUCUCUUGAAGACAACAUAAGGUUGGUUCUUGCUUUCUUAAGUCAGUCUGACCAUUUGUGCCUUUUGCUUGGGAUACUUCAUUUAUGUUUGAUGCAAUUAUUUAAAUGGUUAUAGUUACAUGAUAUUCUCUAUCUGUCUCAUCUGUGUUUUGUUCCUCAGUUUAUUCUUUCUUGCCUUCUUAUUCAUUCACUAAUGUUAUAUUUUCUUUGGACAUAUUUUUCUUCAUUCAUUGGUGGAAGUAAAUUUCCAUAUCAUUAUUUUAUCCAUUAACGCCAAGCUGCACCGUGUUUGUUCAAAUUUACAUUCCCACCUAGGUCCCUUUCUCAGUUACCUGUUUCAAUCUUUUAACUUUUGGGUUUUUUUUAAAUUUUAUGUUUCUCUAUAGUUUUCUGGUUAUAUCCAUUCUAUCUCCUUCUAUAUAUUCUUAUUUUAUAAGUGGUGGGCAACAAGCAUGCCCACAGACAUGACGCGAAGCAGAAAGCUGGCCGUGAGAGUGACGAGAGGAGGCCUAUCCCUGCUGCCUUGCCCUGGAGCUGCUCCUCUGGUAGCUUGAAUCCAUUUCUUUCACAUCCAGUCUUCAUCCCUCAGCAACCCAACUGGAGCCACUCAAGACCCAUGAGCCAGAUGGAUGACCAUCGUUAUUCUGGGGCAGGCAGCAGCUUCCAAGAAGAUGGCCUUGCAAUUCCAGGUCACGACUGCCUGCUGCCUUCAGAGGAACGACUCACCACAAAUCCAGAUUCUGCUGUGCGUGGCCGUCAAAUGUGAGGCCAUCUGGGGACGUGUCACGGGGACUGGGGUGGACAUAAGUCACCUUUCUAGCUACCUGUUGGAUAAGCUUUCUAUAUUUGAUGAAAAGUAGUACCUGACUUCCGGACCUGGAGUUUGAAGCUCAGUUUCCAGCUGCCCUGAAACAUGCUUGGGAGACUGACUUGGAAGACAGAACGGCAAGGAAGCGGCGUCUCAGCGUCACUUCCUGCGGGGAGGGGCAGCGUUAGGCGUCUUCUGAGGCUGACUUCUCAGCAGAGGAUCCCUGUGCCUGAGGCCGCGGUGCCCAGAGGUGCCAGGUGGGGCGGGGGAUAUGGUAACUGGGAAACAUAGCCCCAAGCCCAGUUACCGCCCCUCUUAGCUAGGUAGCGAGGAUUCAGUAGUUUGCAGGACUGUGCCUGACACUGUGCCCGGGCGUGGUCUGGGCAGUCUCUUCACAUCAUCCGCGAAGGCAUCUGGGCUUUUUCCUGUCUGUCAGCGGAUGACUCCUUCCUCCGUCGUCCCUCCAUGCGUGCGGCCAUCUUUUGUCGCGUGCCUACACUAUCGAUGUCAGGCUGGGGACGCACAGGACCGACCGAGCAUGCUGGCAGGCUGGAAUGACUAAGUCAACCAAACUGCAGAGAUGGUGGCUGCCCCUCCCCACAGGAGCUCCAUCCCAAGGAGAGAUCAGAGCUCUAUCCGUAGAACCCUGGCUGGAGUGGCUGAAGCCCCUGCAGGGAGGACCCACGCAGUGAGGAGAAGCGGAUGGGAUCACACUUAAAGAACCACUUUGGCAGCUGUGCUGCCUGUGGGGGACCCCUUCUCAUCUGGACCACUUGUAUUCUCCAAAGUCUGCAGGCUGGAACGGCUGAGUCUACCGAAUUGCAGAGAUGGCAGCCACCCCUGCCCUGCUGCCUGGGGGGGACCCCUUCUCAUCUGGACCACUUGUAUUCUCCAAAGUCUGCAGGCUGGAACGGCUGAGUCUACCGAAUUGCAGAGAUGGCAGCCACCCCUGCCCUGCUGCCUGUGGGGGACCCCUUCUCAUCUGGACCACUUGUAUUCUCCAAAGUCUGCAGGCUGGAACGGCUGAGUCUACCGAAUUGCAGAGAUGGCAGCCACCCCUGCCCUGCUGCCUGUGGGGGACCCCUUGUCAUCUGGACCACUUGUAUUCUCCAAAGUCUGCAGGCUGCAACGGCUGAGUCUACCGAAUUGCAGAGAUGGCAGCCACCCCUGCCCUGGGAACUCGGGCCCUUCUCAGGCAGAGUCCAGCCUGUUGCUGUUGGCUGGCUGGGAUUCCAAGCCAGUGGGUCUUAACUUGUGAUGUGCCAUGGAAGUGAGGACUGCGGAAUGAUUCUGCUUGGCUCCAUGGAGUCAGCCCUCUUCCCAGGAAUCUGGAAGGAUGGAUUUCCCACCUUGCCAGGGAUCCUGGGGCCGGAGUAUGUAAAACGCCUGGGUCUCUAUGUGUGGCUGAGUGGCUGCUCUGCUGAAGUUCCACAAAGUUGUGUGUAUCGGGCCCAAGGCACUGGUGGUGGGGCCUCAUGAAGGGAUCUGCUGAUACCACAGUUGCAAAGAUCCAUGGGAGAAGCAUGAUUUCCCAGCAGGGUCCACAAUCACUCACCACUUCCUUGGCUGGCGCUGGAGGUUCCUUUGGCUCCGUGCCACUGCUGAGUGGGCCAUUGACCCUCCCACCACUUCUUUUCAUUCUCCGUGGGUCGAGUUGUUUGCCUAGUUAGUCCCAGUAUGAGAACCUGGAUAUUUCAGUUGAAGGUGCUGGAUUCACUCACCCCUUUUCAUUCUUCUCUGUAAGCGCCUCAGACCGCAGCUGUUUCUAAUCAGCCAUCUUGGAUUCACCUGAAGGUUAUUUUAAAGUCAUCUAGUUUCAUGGCUUUAAGAAACACCUGUAUUUUGGCUACUCCCAAAUUCAUAUUUCAGCUCAGAUCUUUCCCUGGGCCUCCAGAUAAGACAGAGCCGUGUGUCCAACAUCUCCCUCAGGGUAUCCAACAGGCACCCACCCAUAACAUCGAAACUCAAGUGUCUGUUCUGCUCACACAGAUCAGACCCACCCUGUUGUCCCCUGUUUGGGGACUGGAAACCCCAACUUUGCUCUGGCCAGAAAUCUCGGGGACAUCCUCUAUGCCCCCCACCCACAGCCAGGCAGCAAAUUCUGUGGCCUCCAACCUCGACGUGCAUUGGAGCCUGACGGACCCCUGCAUUUCUGACCUGGGUGCUGAAGGAGCCACCCCUCAUCUUCAGUCUAUUCCAAAGGAGCAGCCACAAUUAGCCUUCAAAAUUUUAAGUCAAGUACAUCAUGCUGUGCUCAAAAUGGCUUUGGGCUCAUUCGGAGUAAAAGCUGAAGUCACUAAAAGAGACUGA